rnacentral:misc_RNA from 1 species
UCCGGCUUGUCACCGGCAGUUCCUCUAGAGUGCCCACCCAAACGUGCUGGCAACUAAAGGCGAGGGUUGCGCUCGUUGCGGGACUUAACCCAACAUCUCACGACACGAGCUGACGACAGCCAUGCAGCACCUGUCUUGUCGCUCCCUUGCGGGCACCAACACGUCUCCGUGGAGUUCGACAGAUGUCAAGAGCUGGUAAGGUUCUGCGCGUUGCGUCGAAUUAAACCACAUGCUCCACCGCUUGCGCGGGCCCCCGUCAAUUCCUUUGAGUUUCAACCUUGCGGUCGUACUUCCCAGGUGGGAUACUUAAUGCUUUCGCUCAGACAUACACUGUAUAUCGCGUAUGUCGAGUAUCCAUAGUUUAGGGCGUGGACUAC